GCAAAUAUAUAUAAACAAUAUCAAACUACAUAUUCAGUGUACUCUAAUUAUGGGGAUCAACAGAAUCACUUGAAGGGCGGGAUGAUAACGCCCUCUGCCUCAUCAUUACAUGAUAGAUCAAUCCAAGCACCUGAGAUAAUUUCAAACAUUUCGUUAUUAAGUAUCAAGAACCCUAAAUGAUAAUACAUCAUUAGAGCACAAGGCAACAGAUUUAUGUUUAUAGUUUUGCUCUACUGAUAAUACAAACAUGCCCCACUUUUACCACCUAGGAGACGAUGCUGAAGAGCAACUGAAAGUUCUGUUGACAGGUCCUCAACGCCUCUGCCCUGAAUAAGUUGUGAAUAAAAAAUAACUUAUGAAAAAAAAAAACAAAUAAUUAGACCAACAAAAUCUAAUGGAGAUUAUCUCAAUUUAGUUCUUAGUUACACAAUGGAUAAGCAUCUUUACAAGAAUUGGAAAGACGACAAUGAUCAAAACACCAACGUCAAUUUGAACAUCAAUCAUCAAGCAAAUAGUAGCAUCUGCAAGUGUCCAGCUAAAGUAAUAAUGAGAUAAUUUUCAAGAAUGUUUAAUAGAUAAUAAAAUGCUUUCAAAAAGUACCUUGAUAAGCAUGACCAUUUGCAUGGAGAAAUUUAGGGUAAAUUACCAAAAACAUGGCAUAAUAUACACUUUUUGUCAUUGAUAUUUUAAACUCAGUUACCCCGGUCCCUAAAGUUUAUUAACAACUCUAAAUUUUAGUCCUUAACUAUAAAACUAAAAAAUUUUCAUUACACUCUUAUCCCUAAUAUUUUAACACUUAGUCCCUCAAAAUAUUAAAAUUUUCAUUGAUGGUAGCAUGAGGACCAAAAAUGUUAGUUUGAAACAAUAAAGAUCAAAGUUUAUAGCUAAUCUUGGGAGUUUUUAGUAAUUUACACAAAAAAGAUAAUUAAAACAAUGAGUGGUAAAAUAGUAAUUCCCAUCAAGUGUCAAGAUGCCACAAAUGUUUUCAACUGGACUAUUCAUGAGAAAACACAAUCGUAGUCACAAUCCUUAUCACAGAUUAUUAUCAAGAAUCAACCUUAUCAUACAGGCAUCUAUUAAGAGGGUAGAGAUGGUGGAAAGCAUAUAACCUCAAAUGUUGGUUCUGCAACUAGGCUACAAUCGACAAAUACAGCAACCUUUCCCUUGUCAGGCUGCAAUGCACUUGGCCUUCCAAGCUCAGCCUGCACAUAAACAAAUAAGCAAUGUAUUUGAAACUUGAAGGAUAAAAAUAACUCGACCAAUGAAAUUUUAAAAUCACUUGGUAGAAGAGUGUCUUUUGCCACCUUCACACUACCAAUAAACUCUGUUGCACCUAUCCUAACUCGUGUUGAGCCAUUUGCCUGUAAUGAAACUCAUAAAACACCAAAUUUAGAAGAGUGGGUAAAAUUAAAAAAGAACAAACAAAAAUGCACAAGACUCCACAAGAUCCGUUUUAAAAUCAAUGUUGGUUGAUAGAAGAUUUGGCCACCUGAGGCAUGACUCCAGUUUCAACAAAAAUGGGUCGAUAGGUAUCUCGUUUUCGACCAUCAGAGCGGAGAUUUUGAUUAAUGCCACCCUGUAUGAAAUGCUUUUCUCCAACUGAGAGUCCUACCAUUACUAACACUUAAAAGAUAAUAUGUAAAUAAACAAUGAUAGUGAAAAGUAAGGGAACUCAUAGAAUCAAAAACAAUUAAAAGAAUCAAGUUGACUGAAUUGCUGAAGAAAACUGAACUAAACGGAUACCAUUAAUUAAAAUCUAGUCCAAAACUUAACAAAACAACCCUAAAAAGUGAAAAGAGACCAAAAAAUACAAUUCCUGCAUCCCCAAAAAAAAAAAAAAUCCUGCAUACUCAUCAGAAUACAAGUUUCUAAGGCAUUAUUUGCAACAAAAUUGGACUCAGAAUGCAAUUAGUCUAAAAAUUAUCAACAUCAAUUUCAGCUCCCCUUCACACAAUUCAAUACCAAAAGGACCAAAAGAAACAACAAAAGAAAAAUUAAACUCACCUGACAAGUGAGAAGUGACUCAAUGUUGAGAUUCAAGAAAGGAGCGAAUGACUGAAUUAUGGAUGCUUGUAACAAUUUCAGAGGCUGGAGGACUAGAGCAAGGCUAGUGGUGGAGGAGAAGCAGGAGAGAAUGAGGUGAGAUAGUGAUGGGUAACGGAUAAAGGUGACAGCAGUAGAGAAGAGGAUGCGAGAUAGUGCUCAAAUUCAAGUGCGUUUCAAACCAAGGUGUUGCAAAGGAUUACUCAAAGGAAAUAAUUUUAAAGGAUAAAAAUGACUAAAGGGGUAUCCCCUUUCAAAUCAUUGAAAUUGAAAUUAAAUUUGAAAAGAGCUAUUUUUUAAUAGAGAAAUUGGAAGUGAUUAAAGAGGCAUCCCCCUUCAAAUCACCAGAAUUAAAAUUAAAUUUGAAAAGAGCAAAAUUUUAAUAGAUGAAUAGGAAGUGAUUAAAGGAGCAUCCCCCUUUGAAUCACCAGGAUUAAAAUUAAAUUUGAACUGAGCAUAUUUUUAAUAGAGGAAUAGGAAGUGAUUAAAGGGGAUCACUGGAAUUGAAAUUAAAUAUAUUUUUUAAAAAAUGAACAGGAAGGUGAUUGGUUCUAAAAUUGUCAUAAGGUAUAUCUUAAGAGGAAAAUUCACUAUAAGAUGAUUGGUUCCAAUACCAAUUUUCGAAUCAUUCAUCAUCUAUGCAUAGAAAGCAACUUUAACUUCAUUUAAUUCUCAACAUACGAAUUUAUUUAGAAAAUAGAACAAUAAAAUUCACAUUUUUAAAGAAAAGGUUCAAGUUGCUAAAAUAUCAGUAGUCACAAAAAGAAUAACUAAUUUAAACCACAAGGACAAAUCUCAUGUAUAACCAGGCUCCAAAAACCAAAAUCUCAUGUAUAACUUUAUUUCAAGGGCAAAUCUAGCAACAUAUUGAUAAUCAAUGAACUAAAAACCCAAAAUUUCAUAUAUAGCCUUUAUCUCAAGGACGAAUCUCGCAAUGAAUUGAUAAUCACUGAACUAAAGGAAAACAUGACUUUGACAGCCACAAAAUAGAACUUAUAACUAUAAUAUGAUGGCUGUGAAUCAAAUACGAAAGAAUAAGUAUAAGAAGAAGAAAAUAAUAGACAAAAACAGAGACAUUUCAAAACCAUAACACCUCCAAAUUCCAGUUCAAGAAUACACUAAUCUCCCCUGCAUCAAUCACGAGUUCAUUCUAAUUUUCAAAAUGCAACCUUAUCAAACAGAAGAAUAAAAUUAAUAUAUGUAGGGAAGCUUAUUCUUUUCCGUUUACAAUAGUCUAAAUAUGGGAGACACAAAGAAAAAGGUAUAAUAGUGAGUAAUGAAAGCAAUAGAUCCCAAAAUCUUCAAAUUUCAUACAAGUACUACCCUACAAAAGGCAUCAUUUAGCUUACCCAGCAGCCAAGAACCAACAAGAGUUAAUCAAAAUGCCAUUUUCAAACAAUAAAACAACUGGAAUAAACCAGAGACAUUUUAUAAAACACUCUUUAAUGAAACAGAUUUUAUUUUCACCUAAAACCCAGAUA
rnacentral:misc_RNA from 1 species